AACGCACCUUGCGCUCCUUGGUAUUCCGAGGAGCAUGCCUGUUUGAGUGUCAUGGAAUUCUCAACCCACACGUCCUUGUGACGUGGACGGGCUUGGACUUUGGAGGUUUCUGCCGGCCCCCCAUUCGGGUCGGCUCCUCUGGAAUGCAUUAGCUCCAUCCCUUGCGGAUCGGCUCUCGGUGUGAUAAUUGUCUACGCCGCGGUCGUUGAAGCCUCGGUCGGGAGAGCUUAUAAUCGUCCCUUCGGGACAAUCGAAUAUGACAUCUGACCUCAAAUCAGGUAGGACUACCCGCUGAACUUAA
rnacentral:misc_RNA from 1 species